rnacentral:rRNA from 1 species
UACGAAGGGGGCUAGCGUUGUUCGGAAUUACUGGGCGUAAAGCGCACGUAGGCGGAUUGUUAAGUCAGAGGUGAAAGCCUGGAGCUCAACUCCAGAACUGCCUUUGAUACUGGGAGUCUUGAGUCCGGGAGAGGUGAGUGGAACUGCGAGUGUAGAGGUGAAAUUCGUAGAUAUUCGCAAGAACACCAGUGGCGAAGGCGGCUCACUGGCCCGGUACUGACGCUGAGGUGCGAAAGCGUGGGGAGCAAACAGG